rnacentral:rRNA from 1 species
GGGAGGUAGUGACAAUAAAUAACAAUACGGGGUCCUUUAGGGUCUCGUAAUUGGAAUGAGUACAAUUUAAAUCUCUUAACGAGGAACAAUUGGAGGGCAAGUCUGGUGCCAGCGGCCGCGGUAAUUCCAGCUCCAAUAGCGUAUAUUAAAGUUGUUGCAGUUAAAAAGCUCGUAGUUGAAUUUCGGGAUCAAUAUAUCGGUCGUGCCUUGGUACGUACUGGUAUCAUUGGUUUCUCCUUUCUGACGAACCAUGAUGUCAUUAAUUUGGUGUUAUGGGAAGUUAGGACUGUUACUUUGAAAAAAUUAGAGUGUUUAAAGCAGGCUUUAGCUUGAAUACAUUAGCAUGGAAUAAUGAAAUAGGACGUUUGACCCUAUUUUGUUGGUUUCUAGGAUCGACGUAAUGAUUAAUAGGGAUAGUUGGG